AGGAAAUCUGAACAAAUCUUGCCAAGAAAACCCUGUGAUAGGGUCACCGCAAGACUUGAACAGACAGAGUAAGAUGACACUUGCCUAGUUUGCAUCUGCAUGUCAUUUUCCCUAUGCUAAUGUCUGUCUCUCGUUUUGGUAUGUCACUAUAUUUCCAUUGGAAGGAAAAUGGCUAAAGGAGAGAUAUGAUGGAGAAAUACACAAAAGUGAUGCCUUUUCUGUCUUAGUAUCAUCUGCUGACUAACAGCAGUUGGCCAGGAUCUCAAGCAGGGUCUCAAACGUUCCUAUCUGCUACCUGUUUCUUUUUUAGGUGGAAAUAGAUAGGGAUUCAAUCUGGUGGCCACACGAAGCAUGUGCUUCACCACUUAACUAUGGUUCUUUCCCUAAAAGAGCAGCAAUCUGCCUUCACGCUUCUCCUGCAGUACCCAAAUAAGUGGCUGCAGUUCUGAACAACUUGUAAGCCCAUGACAAUAUUCUCAUCAGUGUCCUGGAGCAAACAUAAAGUGGUUUUGUUGUACUUGAGUUUUCAGUCACAGAAAAAAUGUCUACAGUAUGACAGUUUUGGCCACCAUCCAUGAAUAUAAACAAGCUUUUAGGCAUACUUUAAUGGUAUUUGCCCACAUCCUUCCUUAUACAGUACCUAUCUCUCAUUCCCUUUGUUCAUUAGUUUUUCCAAUUACUGGUAUCUAUUUUCAUCUCCAUGCUCUUUGGGCCAUUUUCUGUGUUGGAGGACUGGGGAACCUGAUGUUAUCAGAUGUUGCUGGAUCACCAUUACCAUCAUGCCUGAUCAUUGUUGGUGAAAUUGGAGGGGCUCAGGGUUCCCGCUUUUGCUGUAAAGUGGCAUUUGUACUGAUACUUGGUUUUCUUUUUAUUAAUGAAAUGUCUUUACUUCAUCCCUCUAUUAAUAGGAGUCAUGUCCAUCCCGGCAUUUUUUCUGGUUGUGUCCUGGACCUUGACACUUUGGCCCCAGGGUUCACCAACCAGCCUGGGGCAUCCCUUGCCCACUCCCCUGAAAGAGAAUCACAUCUUUCUGCCUGCCUCAGGGAGCAACAUCCCAGCCAUGAAUAAAGGACAGACAUCUCCACCUGCUCACAUAAAGAUGCCUCAGGACCAUUCAGAUGACGACUAUUAUGAUUAUGGUAGCAUUCUCACCGAAGAGCCGAAGAGGCCUGAUCACCCACAGCUGCUGCCUCCCCGCUGCAACUACAACCACUGCCAUCAUCUUCAAGUUCCCUGCAUGGAACUGAGCAAAGUCAGCCAAUGCAUGUGCCCUGGAAUCACAGACCCUACUGUGGCACCUGAGCCACCCCGUUUGCAGACGAUCCAUGUGAGUGAAGCUGGGGCCAGUGUGCACUGGUGUGCACCCUCUUCCACAGUGCAAGAAUACCGCUUGUGGUACCGGCCAGUCAAUGGGCCCUUCAUCUCUGGGCCUGCCCUUAACAGCACUUUCCGCUUGGCAGCUGUUUCAGAUUUGUUGCCUGGCCAGGAAUAUCUGUUCUGUGUUGUUGCCUACAACCAGGCUGGUUCCAGCCCUACAGACAAUGGCUUUCAGGAGCGUGGGCCCUGUCGUCUUGUCUGGACCCCUUCCCAUCAGAUAUCAUAUGCCUAUAUCGCAGUGGGAUUGGCUUGUACCCUCAUUGUCGUGGUCAUAUCUAUCUUGGUUUGGUAUUUUUGCUACCACAAGAAGAAACGUGUUUACCAUGGAUCACUGCAUAACAUCCUGGAUGGUGAGCCAGGUCUCAGUGGGGUAGCCAACACCUCUUUCUGAAGUUGUGAAAGGUCCUCCAAAAGUCCUUUUUGUGGUCUUCUCUGUCUUGUCCAGGAUCUGGCUGGAAGCUCAAAAAGACCCAUUUCACAAGGCUGGAAGAUUAAUAUGACUGUUGACAUCUGCCACAAAGAUGAUUUCUGUUUUGCUGAAGAAUUAUGAGUUAUGAUAUUGAUAACUGUUGUUUACGUUCAGCUGGCCUAGAGAUUUUCACAAAGCAGAUACUAGUUCUGAGUCUGAUUCAGCAACUCAUACUUUCAGUGCUGGAGAAUGAGUAUAUAUCCACCCUAUGAUCUCUGGGGUUACUAGGGAGUACUCACAAGUCUGUGUAUGGAUGAUUGAGCAGAGGGAGGCAACUGCCUCAAGCCGCACAUACUGAAAAGAAUGUCUUUUUAUGAAUUGGUUUCACAGUUACUCAUUCAGUGGUCAGCAUAGUACUUGUAACAAUACUUUCUGAGGAAGACAGAUGGUUUCCUUCACUGCCUCUCUCAUCAAGGUUUACAUCUGAUCUGAGAGAACUAGUAGAGAGUAGAGAGAGAGAACAGCCUAAGGAUGUAGACAGGAUCCAUGGAGAGGUGAGCACCCCAUGUCCACUAGAUCCUUGACUUUCUUGGUUCAUUAAAAAGCCAGAGGGGAGCAGGGCAGAGUCACCCAACAAGUAUGGCUAGAGAUGUGACGAAAGCUUGUUGCUGUUCAUUAAACGUUUCUCAAUGCUUGGCUCAAGUAUUGACAAGCCCUGAAAUUUGGCACCUGUUCAUCUGAGUUGUGAGGAAUUGCACAUACUUCAUUUGCAAAAGAAAUAAAGGGGCAGACACUGCAGUUAGAAAUUCAGUGUUCAGGACCUCUUUUCUUUUUCUUUUGCUUAAGAGUCAGCAUGGUGUAGUGGUUUGAGCAUUGGGCUAUGACUCUGGAGAACAGGGUUCGAUUUAUUGCUCAGCCUGAAGAGACUGUGACUAUCCUCAAAGUUCAAGCCUUCUUUUCACAUGGGCAACAUUGCAAAGCAUAUGAACCACUGCACCAAGUCCUUGUCAAUGAGGUCUUGUAACAUCUGUUUCUUUAGGAAUCAUUGAAUACUAUUUUGAUUUAGGCCAUUUGCCCCCAGUUCAAGUUCAGUUGCAUGGUCUGAUUUGUGUUUGUGGCUGGGCAGUGUAUUACUUUCCUUCUCAGUAAAAGCCUCCCCAAGGCUGCACACUCUCCUUUUCCCUACUUGUCUGGGGCUUCCUCAAUAACCCCAACCCGUAACCACCACAGUGCUAUGACAGCACAGCACUGGGAGAAGGCUUACAGUUUUGAUGACCUUCUCUCUGAGGCCAAGGGCUAUAUUCACUACAUAGAGAAUUACCUAGGGAUGCCAGGUGAGCCAAGUAGUCCAAAGGUUCCACGAAACAUGGAUGCCACCAUGUCCCUACAUGCCUGUUUAAUGGCUGCAGGUUCCUUUUCCCUCACGGACCAAUUGAAUUCAGGCCCAAAGAACUUUUUGGAAAAGUAAGCACAUAGUCUUAACAACCUCAAUCAUCUUUUCGCAACAAAACUGUUCCCAAGGUAGCCUCCCUAGCAUCCACCUGAACCACAAAAGGCAGUGUUUAUGGGCUAAGAACUGAGCAACCUCUUAAACUCCUCAAAUGCCUUCACUUGGUGCUGGGCUUAGGUUAGGCCGGACCCUGUUAUUUGCUGUUUCUUUUGGUCUUAAGCAAGUGAAUCAGUGGCAAUGCCACUUGUGCAAAGUUAAGAAUAGACUGUAUAAAAAAUGUCAAACCACAAAAAUAUUUGCAGCUGCCUUUGCAUCUGUAGGAUGGUCCCAAUCCAAAACGGCUGUGACCUUCUCAGGGUCCAUUUCAAAACCAAUUGUAGAAAUACAGUACCCCAGAUAAUAUCAUUUGUCCUUAGGGAAUUCACAUGUAGACAGUUUCACAUAACACCUAUUAUCUAACAGUUUUGUCAACACUCUUUCAACAACUCCCCUGACUUCCCAUCUUUCCUCUUGCUGGAGAUGGAACAUGCAUCCCUAAAUCUCCAUCUUUGUAAGCAUCUGAGGUCCUGCCAUGCUUACUAGCCAUAUAUUUUGUAUAUGCUUUGUAAUACUAGAUGGUGGGUUAAGUGGCACUAGUGGUGACACGAGGCAGAGAUUUUUUUUUAUCUGUUAGGAAGCUGGCUAAUGAGGGAAGAGAUGCAAAAGAAGAGAAAAAGGCACUUUGAACUGUCAAAGCCAAGUUGAUGGGAAUGCUUGGUAUGGGAUGGAAAAGGGGGGCAGGUCAGGGAACCGCUAGAUGGUGCUAAUAUCUAAGCAUUCCUACCCACUGCUUGCUCUUUCUUCCCUCCUUGAAAGGCAGCUAGUUUUGUUCACUUGUCCUGCCCAUGGCUUGGUGCUUUGUAUUGCCAACAUUGAAGUGGUCCUGCCACAGCAGGAUAAAUCCAAGGGAUCAAUGCCUGUGUGAAGGCUGUCGGCCACUGCUCCACACUAUUUGCUACCCAACCAUCAAUGAAAAUGGCUCUUUUUGCUCUCUGUGGUUCUCUUCCUAUCUCACAUUAACCUCUCCCCACCCCUCACACCGGCUUGGCAUUCUGCCCUUUUGAAGGGCUGCCCCAUUGCUCUUCACCACACCUUCUGUGCUUAUAUUGGUUUUUGGCUCUUCAUAGAAUCAGAGAAUUGGAAGAGACCCCAAGGCCAUCCAGUCCAACC